rnacentral:lncRNA from 1 species
AUCCUGACACACGUUCUCUUGUUAAAGGUUGAAAGUGAAGAUGAAUUUUAAUGCUAGUAGUUUUGAUUUGAGUCCAUUGAAAAGGGUGCCUAAUUUUCUGGAAUACCGGGAGGAAGAAAUGAUCAUUUACAAGUUUUGACAGCCACAUAUCCUGAUUCUUGAUCUGUGCAAGGGCACUGAAGAUGGAUGCUUUAGAGGAAGUUACCUGCUGGGAGGAAUCCUUUUGAGAGGGACAAAGGAAGACACUUAACCAUUCUGUUCUGAUCUUCAAUAAACUCUCAAUUGUUAGUUCAGUGUCUGUGAUGAUUAAGAAAUGAC